UGGCGCAAUUGGUAGCGCGCUUCCAUGGCAUGGAAGAGGUUAGGGGUUCGAUUCCCCU
rnacentral:tRNA from 1 species